rnacentral:rRNA from 1 species
UUUAUGGAGAGUUUGAUCCUGGCUCAGGAUGAACGCUGGCGGCGUGCCUAAUACAUGCAAGUCGAGCGAACGGACGAGAAGCUUGCUUCUCUGAUGUUAGCGGCGGACGGGUGAGUAACACGUGGAUAACCUACCUAUAAGACUGGGAUAACUUCGGGAAACCGGAGCUAAUACCGGAUAAUAUUUUGAACCGCAUGGUUCAAAAGUGAAAGACGGUCUUGCUGUCACUUAUAGAUGGAUCCGCGCUGCAUUAGCUAGUUGGUAAGGUAACGGCUUACCAAGGCAACGAUGCAUAGCCGACCUGAGAGGGUGAUCGGCCACACUGGAACUGAGACACGGUCCAGACUCCUACGGGAGGCAGCAGUAGGGAAUCUUCCGCAAUGGGCGAAAGCCUGACGGAGCAACGCCGCGUGAGUGAUGAAGGUCUUCGGAUCGUAAAACUCUGUUAUUAGGGAAGAACAUAUGUGUAAGUAACUGUGCACAUCUUGACGGUACCUAAUCAGAAAGCCACGGCUAACUACGUGCCAGCAGCCGCGGUAAUACGUAGGUGGCAAGCGUUAUCCGGAAUUAUUGGGCGUAAAGCGCGCGUAGGCGGUUUUUUAAGUCUGAUGUGAAAGCCCACGGCUCAACCGUGGAGGGUCAUUGGAAACUGGAAAACUUGAGUGCAGAAGAGGAAAGUGGAAUUCCAUGUGUAGCGGUGAAAUGCGCAGAGAUAUGGAGGAACACCAGUGGCGAAGGCGACUUUCUGGUCUGUAACUGACGCUGAUGUGCGAAAGCGUGGGAUCAAACAGGAUUAGAUACCCUGGUAGUCCACGCCGUAAACGAUGAGUGCUAAGUGUUAGGGGGUUUCCGCCCCUUAGUGCUGCAGCUAACGCAUUAAGCACUCCGCCUGGGGAGUACGACCGCAAGGUUGAAACUCAAAGGAAUUGACGGGACCCGCACAAGCGGUGGAGCAUGUGGUUUAAUUCGAAGCAACGCGAAGAACCUUACCAAAUCUUGACAUCCUUUGACAACUCUAGAGAUAGAGCUUUCCCCUUCGGGGACAAAGUGACAGGUGGUGCAUGGUUGUCGUCAGCUCGUGUCGUGAGAUGUUGGGUUAAGUCCCGCAACGAGCGCAACCCUUAAGCUUAGUUGCCAUCAUUAAGUUGGGCACUCUAAGUUGACUGCCGGUGACAAACCGGAGGAAGGUGGGGAUGACGUCAAAUCAUCAUGCCCCUUAUGAUUUGGGCUACACACGUGCUACAAUGGACAAUACAAAGGGCAGCGAAACCGUGAGGUCAAGCAAAUCCCAUAAAGUUGUUCUCAGUUCGGAUUGUAGUCUGCAACUCGACUACAUGAAGCUGGAAUCGCUAGUAAUCGUAGAUCAGCAUGCUACGGUGAAUACGUUCCCGGGUCUUGUACACACCGCCCGUCACACCACGAGAGUUUGUAACACCCGAAGCCGGUGGAGUAACCUUUUAGGAGCUAGCCGUCGAAGGUGGGACAAAUGAUUGGGGUGAAGUCGUAACAAGGUAGCCGUAUCGGAAGGUGCGGCUGGAUCACCUCCUUUCU